UACGGAGGGUGCAAGCGUUAUCCGGAUUUACUGGGUUUAAAGGGUGUGUAGGCGGGCUGUUAAGUCAGUGGUGAAAUCUCCGGGCUCAACCCGGAAACUGCCAUUGAUACUAAUGGUCUUGAAUUUUGUUGAGGUAGGCGGAAUAAGUCAUGUAGCGGUGAAAUGCAUAGAUAUGACUUAGAACACCAAUGGCGAAGGCAGCUUGCUAAACAAAUAUUGACGCUGAGGCACGAAAGCGUGGGGAUCAAACAGG
rnacentral:rRNA from 1 species